rnacentral:rRNA from 1 species
GACGAACGCUGGCGGCGUGCUUAACACAUGCAAGUCGAACGAUGAAGCCGGAGCUUGCUCCGGUGGAUUAGUGGCGAACGGGUGAGUAACACGUGAGCAAUCUGCCCUUGACUCUGGGAUAACUGCGGGAAACUGUAGCUAAUACCGGAUACGACACCUUGGGGCAUCCCAGGGUGUGGAAAGAAUUUCGGUCAAGGAUGAGCUCGCGGCCUAUCAGCUAGUUGGUGAGGUAAUGGCUCACCAAGGCGACGACGGGUAGCCGGCCUGAGAGGGUGACCGGCCACACUGGAACUGAGACACGGUCCAGACUCCUACGGGAGGCAGCAGUGGGGAAUAUUGCACAAUGGACGAAAGUCUGAUGCAGCAACGCCGCGUGAGGGAUGAAGGCCUUCGGGUUGUAAACCUCUUUUAGCAGGGAAGAAGCGAAAGUGACGGUACCUGCA